GACAGGAUAGGAGCCUUCAAAUAUCUGAGGGGCUGCCACAGAUGAGGGCGGUCAAGCUGUUUUCCAAGGUUCUUGAAGGCCAGAAAAACCUGGGGUUUGUCCCAAGGCCCCUCCAGGCACAAUCACUACUUGUCCCGUGCUGUGUAGAAGUGACUGGGGCUGCAAAGGGAAAAAAAAAUGUUGCCCUUAUGCUUGCAAGAUUGACUGCAUGGAUCCCGUCUAAGGUUCCUGCCAAUCAAGAUUCACCAUUCAACUUUUCCGAAUUGUGUCUGGUGCCUCAACUUGAACCAAAGACCCAGCAGUUGCCAUGGGGACCCUUCCCCUCAAAUACACGGUGGACUUAUUCUUCUUUUCUCAAAAUAAA